AACGCACGAGACCUGCGGACCUGCGGAGGGAUCAUUACAUGGCGGAGGAGGUGGGCACCUAGUAAAAACAAAACCCUAGGUGUGUUGCCUACCACGCUUUCUACCCUUGUCUAUUUGCACCUUUUGUCGUUCCCUCGGUGGGUCUUGAACCUGCCGGCGGCAACUUUCAAAAACCUUUUGUAGUUAGUAUCUAAUUCUUCUGAUCAAAUAUUCAAUCGUUACAACUUUUAACAACGGAUC
rnacentral:misc_RNA from 1 species